rnacentral:rRNA from 1 species
GACGAACGCUGGCGGCGUGCUUAACACAUGCAAGUCGAACGAUGAAACCUAGCUUGCUAGGUCGAUUAGUGGCGAACGGGUGAGUAACACGUGACUAGCCUGCCCCUUUCUCUGGGAUAACGCUCCGAAAGGAGUGCUAAUACCGGAUACUCAUACCGAGGCACAUGCCUUGGUGUGGCAAGUUUUUCGGAAAGGGAUGGAGUCGCGGCCUAUCAGCUUGUUGGUGGGGUAACGGCGCACCAAGGCGACGACGGGUAGCCGGCCUGAGAGGGCGACCGGCCACACUGGGACUGAGACACGGCCCAGACUCCUACGGGAGGCAGCAGUGGGGAAUAUUGCACAAUGGGCGCAAGCCUGAUGCAGCGACGCCGCGUGAGGGAUGAAGGUCUUCGGAUUGUAAACCUCUUUCAGUAGGGACGAAGCGAAAGUGACGGUACCUAAAGAAGAAGCACCGGCUAACUACGUGCCAGCCGCCGCCGUAA